rnacentral:rRNA from 1 species
UACAGAGGGGGCAAGCGUUGUUCGGAAUUACUGGGCGUAAAGGGCGCGUAGGCGGCCUUCUAAGUCGAACGUGAAAUCCCCGGGCUCAACCCGGGAACUGCGUCCGAGACUGAAAGGCUUGAAUCCGGGAGAGGGAUGUGGAAUUCCAGGUGUAGCGGUGAAAUGCGUAGAUAUCAGGAAGAACACCCGUGGCGAAAGCGGCUUCCUGGACCAGAACUGACGAUCAGGCUCGAAAGCGUGGGGAGCAAACAGG